rnacentral:tRNA from 1 species
GGGCCCUUAGCUCAGCGGUUAGAGCUGUCGGCUCAUAACCGAUUGGUCCCUGGUUCGAAUCCAGGAGGGCCCACCC